CCUACGGGUGGCAGCAGUGAGGAAUAUUGGUCAAUGGUCGGGAGACUGAACCAGCCAAGCCGCGUGAGGGAUGAAGGUACAGAGUAUCGUAAACCUCUUUUGUCAGGGAACAAAGGCGGGGACGUGUCCCCGGAUGAGUGUACCUGAAGAAAAAGCAUCGGCUAACUCCGUGCCAGCAGCCGCGGUAAUACGGAGGAUGCGAGCGUUAUCCGGAUUUAUUGGGUUUAAAGGGUGCGAAGGCGGUCUGUUAAGUCAGCGGUAAAAGCCCGGGGCUCAACCGCGGCCCGCCGUUGAAACUGGCAGUCUCGAGUUGGAGAGAAGUAUGCGGAAUGCGCGGUGUAGCGGUGAAAUGCAUAGAUAUCGCGCAGAACUCCGAUUGCGAAGGCAGCAUGCCGGCUCCACACUGACGCUGAGGCACGAAAGCGUGGGUAUCGAACAGGAUUAGAUACCCUUGUAGUC
rnacentral:rRNA from 1 species